GAUGAACGCUGGCGGCGUGCUUAACACAUGCAAGUCGAACGAAGCAAUCAGACGGAAGUUUUCGGAUGGAAGACUGGUUGACUGAGUGGCGGACGGGUGAGUAACGCGUGGGCAACCUGCCCUAUGGAGGGGGAUAACAAUGAGAAAUCAUUGCUAAUACCGCAUAAGCUUACAGUAAAGCAUUUUAGAGUGAGAAAAGAUUUAUCGCCAUAGGAUGGGCCCGCGUCUGAUUAGCUAGUUGGUGUGGUAACGGCAUACCAAGGCAACGAUCAGUAGCCGACCUGAGAGGGUGAACGGCAACAUUGGGACUGAGACACGGCCCAAACUCCUACGGGAGGCAGCAGUGGGGAAUAUUGCACAAUGGGGGAAACCCUGAUGCAGCAACGCCGCGUGAAGGAAGAAGGCUUUCGGGUUGUAAACUUCUAUCGACAGGGACGAAGAAAGUGACGGUACCUGAGUAAGAAGCCCCGGCUAACUACGUGCCAGCAGCCGCGGUAAAAC
rnacentral:rRNA from 1 species